UAACAGUUUCCACUUUUCAACAUGGCAGAUCAAUUUGUGUUGUAUUAUCAUGUGACGGCAAAAAACUCUGCGUUUACCAGUUAACUUGUGCGUGAAAAAUUCUCAAUUAUUGGGCGGCCGUAAAUACGGACAUUAGCCGCCAUGGUGGACAUUAAAAAUCCACCGUUCAGUGAUAUAAAAAGGCCAGAGGAGGUCGUCGCGAUGGCGAUGAACGAUAGCCUGAAAUUUGCCGUGUUGAUCGGACUGAUCGAGGUGGGACAGGUGUCUAAUCGUGAGGUGGUCAACACCGUACUGCACUUGGUCUUCGCUCUUAUCAUGAUUCGGCGA
rnacentral:misc_RNA from 1 species